GAGAACCAAUCGAGUCCCGGCCACAGACAUCGACAAACAGUUUGACCGCCGUCUCAUCGUGAUGGAGAGCGCACCGAAGCCGUCGGCCGUCGCCAUGGAGAGGCAGCGCAUCGAGAUGGUGUUGGAAAAAUUGACCAACAUGGAGACGACGAUGGCAAGCUUAUCGGCCGACAUCGCGAGUAGUAUCAAGUACUUCUGCGUGCAGGCGGGCAAAGGCGGAUGCGUGUACAAGGUGGACGCCUGGACUGCUGCAUGCUCCGGGCCGGCGGCCGACGCCGCGGCAUGCGCCGUCGCCGAGGCGGCGCUGCACAAGUGCAUAAGCGAUCCAUCCACCCGCCGUGACUCGGAACAACCGCAGCCUCAGCGGAACUCCAGUUGAUGCAUCAGCCACGCAGGCCGGCCUCACUACCAAAUUGCUUCCUCUCUAUCUAAAUAAUUGUAAUCGUAAAGAUAGUUUAGCUUUUUUCGACUAUAAUUAUUUAGGUAUAAACGAAGUAAUAGUUAGGGCGCUAUGCCUAGCUACUUCCGUCAUGGACAGUAUCUUAGAUUGAUUAUUUGAACAAUCGUGUUAUUUGUUUUCGGUAGAGUUGUCUUGUACUCGUCUACUCGUGUUUACCCUAAAAUAAUUGUUUAGACAGUUU
rnacentral:lncRNA from 1 species